AUACGUAGGUGGCAAGCGGUUGUCCGGAUUUAUUGGGCGUAAAGCGAGCGCAGGCGGUUUUUUAAGUCUGAUGUGAAAGCCUUCGGCUCAAACCGAGGAAGUGCAUCGGAAACUGGGAAACUUGAGUGCAGAAGAGGACAGUGGAACUCCAUGUGUAGCGGUGAAAUGCGUAGAUAUAUGGAAGAACACCAGUGGCGAAGGCGGCUGUCUAGUCUGUAACUGACGCUGAGGCUCGAAAGCAUGGGUAGC
rnacentral:rRNA from 1 species